GAUGAACGCUGGCGGCGUGCCUAAUACAUGCAAGUCGAGCGAACAGGCGCUGCUCUUGCUGCUCUGACGUUAGCCGCGCACGUGUGAAUAACACGUGUAAAACGCACCUGUAAGACUGGGAUAACUUCGGGACACCGGCGCUUAUCCCGGAUAAUAUCUUGCACCACAUGGUUCAAUGGUGAAUGACGGCUUUUCUGUCUCUUAUCGCUGCAUCUCGGCCGCAUGAGCUAGUUGUUACGGUAACGGCUUACGAAGGCAAGGAUGCGUAGCCGACCUGUGGGGCGGAUCGGCCACAUGGGAGCGUGAACGCGGUCAUGACUCCUAAGGGAGGCAGCAGUAGGGAACGUGCCGCAAUGGGCGAAAGUAUUACGGAGCAACGCCGCGUGAGUGAUGAAGGUCCUCGGAGCGUAAAACUCUGUUACGAGGGAAGAACAAAUGUGUAAGUAACUAUGCACGGCGUGACGGUACCGAAUCAGAAAGCCACGGCUAACUACGUG
rnacentral:rRNA from 1 species